AUUGAACGCUGGCGGCAUGCUUUACACAUGCAAGUCGAACGGCAGCGCGGGGGCAACCCUGGCGGCGAGUGGCGAACGGGUGAGUAAUGCAUCGGAACGUAUCCUGUAAUGGGGGAUAACGUAGCGAAAGUUACGCUAAUACCGCAUACGCUCGAGAGAGGAAAGUGGGGGAUCGCAAGACCUCACGUUAUAGGAGCGGCCGAUGUCCGAUUAGCUAGUUGGUGGGUAAAGGCCUACCAAGGCGACGAUCGGUAGCUGGUCUGAGGGGAUGAUCAGCCACACUGGGACUGAGACACGGCCCAGACUCCUACGGGAGGCAGCAGUGGGGAAUUUUGGACAAUGGGCGAAAGCCUGAUCCAGCCAUGCCGCGUGCGGGAAGAAGGCCU
rnacentral:rRNA from 1 species